rnacentral:rRNA from 1 species
AUUGAACGCUGGCGGCAGGCCUAACACAUGCAAGUCGAACGAGUGGCGGACGGGUGAGUAAUGUCUGGGCAACUGCCUGAUGGAGGGGGAUAACUACUGGACACGGUAGCUACUACCGCAUACCAUCGGAUGUGCCCAGAUGGCAUUAGCUAGUAGGUGGGGUAAAGGCUCACCGAGGCGACGAACCAUAGCUGGUCUGAGAGGAUGACCAGCCACACUGGAACUGAGACACGGUCCAGACUCCUACGGGAGGCAGCAGUGGGGAAUAUUGGACAAUGGGCGAAAGCCUGAUGCAGCCAUGCCGCGUGUGUGAAGAAGGCCUUCGGGUUGUAAAGCACUUUAAGCGGGGAGGCGUUACCCGCAGAAGAAGCACCGGCUAACUCCGUGCCAGCAGCCGCGGUAAUUC